UCCCCUUGUUGCAUUAGAGCCUGUGAUGUUUUAAGACUUUGAAUCGCGAGCCGAUCACAUUGCUCUAUAAACUUUUCAAGCACUUUAAUAAACAAGCAAGCAAUUCCACCUCUCGCAUUAUUGCGUAAAGUUGACAGCGCGUCAGGCAAAUAGGCUCAGUCCCCGGCCUCUAGCGACUGUGGAAGUCGCUACACUCCUCCUCUUUUCUCUUUUUUAAACUUUAAAAACGGGUUGUGUGUGAGACUUUAAAUCAACAAAAUAUAAAAUAUACAUUUUAAAUUGUUAUUGAUCCCUUUACCCCGAGUCCUAAAGUGUAUAUUCAUUUUUUUACUCUUAAAUAUUUAUUGUUCGUUUACUUGCACUGCUGUAACUGGAGCCUCGUCGUCUCGUCUCUCUAUAAUAUACUGAACUGUAUGUAGCGGAGAUGACAAUAAAGUUUACUUUGACUUCAGCAGCGAGCAGGCGCACCGAGGGCUCUCGCGCUCACUUUUCGCGUAUUGAUUGAUUGAUUGAUUAUGCUUUAUUCAUCCCGAGGGAAAUAUAGAAAAACAUCGGUGCAAAUUAUAAGUCUGUAUCAUAAUGUCUGGUGUUUUCGUGUUGUUGGUUUGUUUUUAUUUUGUUUUAUUUUGCGAGUUGGUUAUUAGAUGCUGCUCCAGCCAGCCAGAGAAUCCCCCGCCGCCCCGCCCUCUCCUCCCUGCGCCGCAAGCAGCGGGCGCCCUUACUCCCAGCAAAUGGGCGAUAGAAAGCCGAUCGGUGCCUAUGCCAUUCCCAAUAUGCGCUGGCUGAUGUCGGGGCACCAUGAGUACGAGCAAUUUUUUAUUUUUUUUUGCCGAUGCCCGUGAUGCCGCCCCCACCACGAUGCCGCCCCGGGCAACCGCCCGUGUCGCCCGUAUCUAAAACCGCUACUGCCUCCAGUUGAAGUUUCUCUUCUUCAAUUUUUUGAAUUUUAUUCUGGAGGUGGUAGUUUUCCUUCCUACUGUCAUGUAAUGCCCUUUGGAUGGAUAAGAGGUCAUUUGGGGAAAUUGGCCGGCCACGCCAGGAAGGAGAAGCGGCGUGAUCUUUUUGUUCUGGGGGUGUUUUCAGAGGUGGUAGGUGGUAAAAGAAGAGGUCAGCAGGAAGAUGGUGAAGAACGACCAAAGACCAAGAAAAAAAGGCAGUCAGGC
ensembl:lncRNA